rnacentral:rRNA from 1 species
CCUACGGGAGGCAGCAGUGGGGAAUAUUGCACAAUGGGGGAAACCCUGAUGCAGCGACGCCGCGUGAGGGAUGAAGGACUUCGGUUUGUAAAGCUCUAUCAGCAGGGAAGAAAAGUACGGUACCUGACCAGGAAUCCACGGCUAACUACGUGCCAGCAGCCGCGGUAAGACGUAGGGUGCAAGCGUUAUCCGGAAUUACUGGGGGUAAAGGGAGCGUAGACGGCAGCGCAAGUCUGAAGUGAAAUCCCAUGGCUUAACCAUGGAACUGCUUUGGAAACUGUGCACCUGGAGUGCAGGAGAGGUAAGCGGAAUUCCUGGUGUAGCGGUGAAAUGCGUAGAUAUUAGGAGGAACACCAGUGGCGAAGGCGGCUUACUGGACUGUAACUGACGCUGAGGCUCGAAAGCGUGGGGAGCAAACAGGAUUAGAUACCCCAGUAGUC